UCUGGAAUCUCGUUUAGCUUUGGAAAGUAAUGGAUACCGAGACCUUUAAUCAGAGGCAUUGCACUUGUGGCUAAAUGCCAUAUUUCUAGGUUGUGAAGACUUAGAAGAUGAAGGAACUCUAGUUGACAGAAGUUGUUAUCAUUGCAGGUAAUCUCUUUUCCUUCAUAAGCUUCUAUUAAUUCGAGAUUCCUUAGGUUUGGCAACAUUCCCAGAAUAGGCAUUGGAUCUUCCGUGAGUUUUGAGUACCAAAGGAUCAUCAUUGUGAUUGAAUUUGGAAAUGGGUCCGACAGGGGCAUUUUUUCUAUUCUCCCCUGUAACAACAAUUUCUGGAGCUUUUGACAAGAAGUAAGAAAUUCAAGGGCUGGGAAUGAUUCACGAAAUUCACACAACAAUUUGAGAGUGCUAAGGCUUUUCAAGCUGCUAAUGUUGUAAAGGGAGUAAGAUUUCUCAAUAUCAUACAUGCUUAAUUCUCGAACAUUGACUAAAUCAACAGGGUCGACAUCUUUCCACUGAUCACAACAGAUGUAUUCAAGAACUUGAAGACUUGUGAGUUUGUUUAUAUGUUGCAGAGGUUCUUUGUAUGGAACGACUAAAUGUCUUAGAUUUACUAGGUUAGCUAACUCAGGAGGUAGUCGGGAUCCAUUAUCAAGGUCUUCAUCCAAGUCCUGGAGUGUCAGUAAAUUCUUGAGGUUGCCUAUGGAGGAGGGAAUAUCACAACUACCUCUAAAGCUUAAGUAUCUGAGGCUGUACAAACUUCCUAUGGCAUCUGGUAGUGUAAAUAUGCCACAGUCAUUCUCCAAGUAUAGCACAUAUAAAUGUUGGAACAUAUUGCAGAACUUUAUCCUAUCCAGCUCAAGACCUUUUUGAUCAAAGAAUGUAACUGAUCUUAAGUUCAAUCUGGAAAAAUUAAGAGUGAGGUACCUUUCUCCUUGACCAUUGAUGGUAUGUCUACGACAUGAGGAGGAUAUGGAAUGUUUUUUCGGACUAUAAAUGUCAAAGAAGUUUACCUCCAAUGCCUUUUGUAUGGCAAGAUCCCGAAGUAGAUCAUGAAUCCUACAUCUAACAACUUCUUCCCAAAAUGUAUCUUCCACUUGAACCAAGCUUCGCCUUAUCAGCUCAUUCAGGAAGUCUUGAGCUACAUCCUCGAUUCUUUCUUCUCCUCUUGGUAUCAAUCCAUCGGCCAUCCACAACCACAUGAGGUUCUUAGCAUUAAUCAGACGAUCUUCUGGAAAAAUACCAAAGUAAAAAAAGCAUUGUUUGAGCACAGUUGGCAAAUCAUUGUAGCUCAGUGAGAGUAUGUCCGAGAUUGCAAUGAAGUCAUUUUUCACACGGUUCCAAAGGUGUUCCUUCACCCUUUCCCAUUCUUCUGGCCCCCUUUUAUGUGAAAGAAGCCCGCUUAGCGUAGCAAUUGCAAGAGGUAAGCCUCUACACUUGAGCACCAUUUCCCAAGCUAGCGUUUCCAUUGCUGGGAUCAUUGCCUGAACGUCGAGUAGUUUCCUGCGAAAGAGGUCCCAACUUUCUUCUUCUGUUAGGAAAUGAAGGCUAUGGGGAAAACAGUUGUCAUCUGCUCUUUUGGCCACAUCCUCAUUGCGUGUGGUAAUAAUAACUCUGCUUCCAUUAUUGUUGUUGGGGAAUGCUCUUUCCAGCCUUUCCCAUGCUUCUCUCUGCCAUACAUCAUCAACCACCACAAGGUAUUUUUUCUCUUCUAGUAGAUUCCGAAGGUGUCUUUCUAGAUCUAUCACAUCCGUCAUCUUUUCCAACAAAUCUAGAGUUUCCUUGUCACAUCUUUGGAUGGAUUUGAUGAUAUUCUUAAGGAGAUCCGUGGUGUUAUACUGUUGAGAAACACAUACCCAAGCACGUGCAUUGAAGAUAUUGGUUAGACUAGGGGAGUGGUAGAGAUUUUUUGCAAGAGUAGUCUUGCCUAACCCGCCCAUACCAUAAAUGGAGAUGAUGGUUCGGCGUGGCUCUGCUUUGACAAGUUCAGCAAGCAAUCUUUCUACAACAUCCUUAAAGCCAACAAAAAUCUGAUCCUGCUUAUCCAUAUAGGAGGUAGUUCUCCUCAAGCCAUAUCUCUGAUUGUUUGGCCUAUAAUUAUUUGGCCCUUCUCCUGCAAUAUUAUCGACAUUUCUGAUACCAUAAGUCUCUCGUUUUCUAGAGAUAUCCAUGAUUCGCUGCUUGAGUGAUUGAAUCUCCUUACCGAUGUUGUAGAAUUUGGCCUCCUUCCUACAUACGCAAGCGCAAGCCUUAAGACAACUAGCAAAUCCUCCCUCAUCACCUUUACCAGCCUCGAAAUUGUAAGUCUCUAGUAUCGCGACAGCGUCAUUAGCAAAAUCGUUAAUUUCAAACACCCAUUGUUGAACUCUUUGAUCUCCAACUUGCUUUUCUUCUGCAUCUUUGAGGAAACUCUGCAUGAAGAGCAGCUCAUUUCGCAGCCAUCGCACAUCCUCUCUCAGGCUUAAACGUAGGUUAACUUCCUGUAUGAGGAAAUCCCCAAGUUUUUGAACCGCAAAUGACACAAAAGCAUCAACCAUAUUUUGGAGUUUUGUUUUUUACUGUUAUCAAGAGAUCUUGAGUGUGGUGUUAAAGCAAUAUAUAGCAGGCUUAUAAGGUUGCUGUCCGUCCCCUUUGCUGUUUCCUCUUGUUUAAAAAAGUCAUAUGGAAGAAAGUUAAAUCAAAGUUGGCUGCUAAUUGCUGCCAAAAAGAAGUUUGAUGCAGAUGUUCUGAAUAUGAGUCUGAAUUUGGGAAUGGAGUUCGACUACCAGAGGAUGUUACGAGAUGCCUUCCUGUAUUGAAGAGCACUAGAGAGGAGUUUUCAUAGUGUUGUCAUGACUAUGAAUGGUGAAGCAGUUGGUGGGUGGAACAAAUAGGGGCAAUUUAGUAUUUAAUACUACAUACAUUGUAAGCCCUGAUUUUUCAUCUGUAAACCUUGAAUGCUGGCUCUACGGAAACAUUCGUUGAUGCUGAGGAAACAAUUCUUCAAGGAUAAAACCUCUGGUGUAACUAGCCAAACAACAUAAUCAAGGCAAAGUUGCUCAAUAUUGAACACGAGGAGCACUUCUUCCUGGAGAAAUAGCAGCAGCCAAGUACUGCAAUGCAAUAUGUUCGCUCGGCAUCAUUAAGAUGAAAUACAUUUUUGUGCUCAUUUCCUCAUAUAUCCUUCCCUUUAGUAUUUCUUGAAAUAAUUUAUCCUUGUAAAUGUGAAGAUUAAAAAAUAUCUUGUCUAAUUUACUUGAUCGACGUUUCUAUUAGGUAUGGUUCUUGCCUUUUACCAUCAUAAAUGGUCAACGCAGCUCUGCUGGCCAUGAUUAAGCUAUAUUGGGGCGGCCGCUUUUUUGCUUUGUCUGCAUACUUGUCUUUCUGGAAAGGAGAAGGCAGCAAAACACAUAGAAAAUAUGUUUCAUCCUAAAUAUGAUUAUCCAGCACAAAGAACUAGUUUCCCCCACUGAUGACAACGAAUUUCGAAUACUUGUAUCAUUGAUUUGGGAUUUUUUUUGGGUAUUUAUAACUUCUUAUUGUACAAACGUACUUUGGUCUUCAAAAAAUAAAGAGUUUGAGAAGAUCUUUGAUAAUUUCAUAAAGUUUUGCUUUCCACUGUUUUUUAUAGUAAUGCACCUUUCACACUCUCGGAAAAAUGAAAAUAUCAGUUGAAGUACAAUAUAAGUCACUGGGCCCGUGCUUAGCAUGGGCGCUUCGUCACUAGACUUCCUCCACUGAAGCAGGCUGCACUCCGUUGACAUGCCAGCUAGCUGAGCUCGCGGUUAUUUUUGGGAUUCUGUAAUUUUAGUGCUUUAAGAGUAUUGUACUAUAUUGCUGCUUGAGUAUAUGUUUUCAUCGUUUUACAAGAAAGCAGUUCCGUUUCAAUUUAAUUACUUUCUGUACCAGCUGAAAGUUAUAGUACUGUGGGCCCCAACUUAAGUUCCCAUUUCAGACUUACAAGUUUAGUUUUCCUGCACUUGAGGCCCCCAAUAUAUUUUCCAACUUCAUCAGCAUUUGUUACUUAGGUUUUUUCUUACGUUGCUUGUUUUAAAUAUUGAACACGAGGUAUAUUCAAAUUUAUGAAGGUACUUGCUACUACUGAUGCUUUAUUACUAUGUGAAUUUUUGAUAUAUGUACCCAUGUUUUAGUUUUAAAAUUAAAUUAUAACAGGUUGGUUAGUAUCCGACUAACUGUCGGAUGAGUGAUAUGUUUUAAAUUUGGUCAGCUCUAAAUCAAGCUUUAAAAGUGGGAUUCUCCUAGGGAAAGUAGUGUAGUAAUCUUUUAGCUUGAAAGUUAGUAGGCUGAUUUAUGUAAUAGUAUAUGUUUUCUCUUCAAUUUUAUUGCAUAUAGGAACACUUCCAACUUUACCGUUUUCUCGACUUAUUGUUGUUCCAGGACUAAACCUGAAGGAUGACAUCCGAUGAGUAGUCACAUGGAUUUUAUAAUGGGGGCCCAGAGACACCGACUGCAAAAGUGAAGCUAUGUGUUGGUGCUCUUCCGUCUGGAAAAUGGCGUUCCUGCUAUAAACGCGGACUUACUUUCAACUUUAACUUCUACCUCUAUGUAAACCGAACUUAUGUAGUUCAAUAUACGAGUUGUGUGGAAAGUGUUGUGUCCUGCUAGAGGUGAUGGUGUCCGUAUAACAUGUAUUGUCUACAAUUGUUCU